UGGGGAAUAUUGGACAAUGGGCGCAAGCCUGAUCCAGCCAUGCCGCGUGAGUGAUGAAGGCCCUAGGGUUGUAAAGCUCUUUCACCGGUGAAGAUAAUGACGGUAACCGGAGAAGAAGCCCCGGCUAACUUCGUGCCAGCAGCCGCGGUAAUACGAAGGGGGCUAGCGUUGUUCGGAUUUACUGGGCGUAAAGCGCACGUAGGCGGACUAUUAAGUCAGGGGUGAAAUCCCGGGGCUCAACCCCGGAACUGCCUUUGAUACUGGUAGUCUUGAGUUCGAGAGAGGUGAGUGGAAUUCCGAGUGUAGAGGUGAAAUUCGUGGAUAUUCGGAGGAAAACCAGUGGCGAAGGCGGCUCACUGGCUCGAUACUGACGCUGAGGUGCGAAAGCGUGGGGAGCAAACAGG
rnacentral:rRNA from 1 species